UUAUUGGAGAGUUUGAUCCUGGCUCAGGACGAACGCUGGCGGCGUGCCUAAUACAUGCAAGUCGAGCGAGGGUUUUCGAACCCUAGCGGCGGACGGGUGAGUAACACGUAGGCAACCUGCCUCUCAGACCGGGAUAACAUAGGGAAACUUAUGCUAAUACCGGAUAGGUUUUUGGAUCGCAUGAUCUGAAAAGGAAAGAUGGCGUUUGCUAUCACUGGGAGAUGGG
rnacentral:rRNA from 1 species